UGGUCGGUGGUUCAGUGGUAGAACGCCACGCUGGUGGUCCGAGUUCGAUUCCCGGCCGAUGAU
rnacentral:tRNA from 1 species